AGAGUGGGGAAAAGUGCGAAAAGAAGCAACAGCCGCUCCACCCGGGACCAGAAAAGUGGCCAGCCGCGUCCCGGCCGCCCGCCCUGCGCCGGGGAUGCGGCGGCUAACGGUCCAAGGAGGCAGCAGGGGCGGCAGGAGCCGCUAGGCGGAGAGAGACCAGCUCAAUAGUGACUCUGGACAUGGGAUUCACAAUGAGACAAAAGGGGCCAAUUGUCGUUCAACUGCUGCAGUUCCACCAAAUUCUACAGUUGCUGAGUCAGGAAGGAAACAUGACUACAGAGUGAUCCAGAACCAACAGCUGUCUUUAGGACCCACACCAACUUUUCUAAUAAAUCCUCCCAGGAGGACUACCACUGUGCAUGAAGGUGGUAUGGACUCAGAAGAGGUAUGAGGAGA